UGAUCCUGCCGGACCCGACUGCGUAUCGGAGAGAGACUAAGCCAUGCGAGCCGAACGUCCUUCAACCACGCGGAGGGCGUGGCGGACGGCUCAGUAACACGUAGUCAACCUGCCCUGAGGACGCGGAUAACCCCGGGAAACUGGGACUAAGCCGCGGUAGGUGAGGAUUCCUGGGAUGGGUCCUCGCCGAAAAAGACCGGCGAGCAUGUUUCGCCGAUCUGCCUCAGGAUGGGACUGCGGCCGAUCAGGUUGUUGGUGGGGUAAUGGCCCACCAAGCCUAUAACCGGUGCGGGCUUUGAGAGAAGGAGCCCGGAGAUGGACACUGAGAUAAGGGUCCAGGUCCUACGGGACGCAGCAGGCGCGAAACCUUCGCAAUGCGUGCAAGCGCGACGAGGUUACUCCGAGUGCAGCCCGCUGAGGGCUGCUUUUCCUAGGUCUAACCCGCCUGGGGAAUAAGGGGAGGGAAAGCCUGGUGUCAGCCGCCGCGGUAAGACCAGCUCCUCGAGUGGCCGGGACGAUUAUUGGGCCUAAAGCAUCCGUAGCCGGCUCGGUAGGUCUCCCGUUAAAUUCAACGGCUCAACCGUUGACCUGCGGGAGAUACCGCCCGGGCUAGGAGGCGGGAGAGGCGGACGGUACUCCGGGGGUAGGGGUAAAAUCCUUUGAUCCUCGGAAGACCACCAGUGGCGAAGGCGGUCCGCCAGAACGCGCUCGACGGUGAGGGAUGAAAGCUGGGGGAGCGAACCGGAUUAGAUACCCGGGUAGUCCCAGCCGUAAACGAUGCGAGCUAGGUGAUGGGAUGGCUACGGGCCGUCCCAGUGCCGCAGGGAAGCCGUUAAGCUCGCCGCCUGGGGAGUACGGCCGCAAGGCUGAAACUUAAAGGAAUUGGCGGGGGAGCACCACAAGGGGUGAAGCCUGCGGUUCAAUUGGAGUCAACGCCGGGAACCUUACCGGGAGCGACAGCAGGGUGAAGGUCAGGCUGAAGACUUUACCAGACAAGCUGAGAGGAGGUGCAUGGCCGUCGCCAGCUCGUGCCGUGAGGCGUCCUGUUAAGUCAGGCAACGAGCGAGACCCCUGCCGCUAAUUGCUAUCCUCCUCCGAAAGGGUGGGGAGGCUAGUUAGCGGGACUGCCGCCGCUAAGGCGGAGGAAGGAAGGGGCCACGGCAGGUCAGUAUGCCCCGAAACUCCCGGGCCACACGCGGGCUGCAAUGGUAGGGACAAUGGGCUCCGCCCUCGAAAGAGGAAGGCAAUCCCCAAACCCUACCCCAGUUGUGACUGAGGGCUGCAACCCGCCCUCACGAAUCUGGAAUCCCUAGUAACCGCGCGUCACCAUCGCGCGGUGAAUACGUCCCUGCUCCUUGCACACAC
rnacentral:rRNA from 1 species